rfam:Felis catus isolate Cinnamon breed Abyssinian chromosome C1, whole genome shotgun sequence.
GCCUGCGUGGCUCAGUUGGUUGAGUGUCUGACUUCAGCUCAGGUCAUGAUCUCACAGUCAGUGGGUUCGAGGCCCACGUCGGGCU